rnacentral:lncRNA from 1 species
UGGUAGCUGCAGAUUCCAUCACCAAUACCAUGUCCUCUCUGGUGAAGGAGCUGAAUUCAGAGGUGGCGAGUGAAACAGAAAGUACGGUGGAUUCUGAAUUUUCGAGAACUCAGUUUGAGGAUCUGGUUCCAUCACCGACCUCUGAGAAGUCUUUUCUAGCCCAAAUCCACGCCCGAAAACCCGGGUACAUUCACGGUGGAGCUACAAGUACCAUGCAUGGUGACAUGGUCCCGGAAGACGGAGAUCCUUACCCGCAACCGGAGGAUGGCAACUACGAGAACGAGUCUGUGCGGCAGCUGGAGAACGAGCUGCAGAUGGAGGAGUACCUGAAGCAGAAGCUGCAGGAUGAGGCCUACCAGCGCCACGUCAGCACUGAGACCAGACUCAAGCACCCCUGUCCUGUAACCGAGACAAAAUGGCGUGUGUUGUUUUGGGGUUUUGUGAUUGUCGGUGGAUUUCUUUCCUUGGCUCUCCAAAUUUACUUUUGGGGCCUGUUCUAAAUGCAAACCCAGCAGGUUUCAUCCGUCCUGUCCAUUCUAUUCAACUAUAUCUCGCAGGGGUUGUUCUUUCUCAUUCCACAACGAAUUGCACAUCAGAACUGAUGGCCUAAGAAUGAACACUGGUCUAACAGAGCCAAACCUCCCCACAGCAUUGUGGUCAAGGAGGUGGGUGAAGUCUACUGUAUAGGAUUCAGGAACUGGUUGUGGUUUGUCAGGAUGGAGGUUGGGGUAAGUUUGAUUGGUCCAAGGGAGACGUGUCGGAGACUAUGAAGAUGGAUUAUUGGAUGGUCUAUAAUAAGGCAGGGAAGGUUCAUUUGUAAGUAGUAAUAUGAACUGAAUUGCAUUAAGAUUGUGGCCUUUGUGUGAUAUAUACUAUGUAUUUUCUUAUAUGCAUGAGCCAAACUGUUGUGAUAUAAUUUAGCACUGAUGUCUGCUCUUAUUUUGACCAUCUUCGUCCACUGUUAUUAGUUCUUGGCCGUUAAGUGUAGAUAGAUAUUGUAAAUAUGGCAGCCUUGGUUGCUAUGCUCACAUUGGUUCAAUUCCACGCAAGGAGACACAAGCAAAGAACUCCACUGUGUCCUCAGAAAACAGGGCAUUUUUCCCUUUGAACCAAAAAGAAAGAAAAAAAAGUCAGAAGCAUUCAUUACAUCUUGAGGCUAAUUAACAUAAGACAUUUUAAAUUGUGACUACUGUAAUUUGACCCCAUAACCAAUUCAGGAACACUAAAGAGUUCACUAUAUCCAUGGUUAUUGUAACAAAACUACUAUAGUCUGUUGUUUUGUUUUGUUGAUAUUGCUGUUAAGUAUUGGGAUGUGUGUGUGUGUGUGUGUGUGUGUGUGUGUGUGUGUGUGUGUGUGUUGGAACCUCCUGGGGACAUGUUAUAUUUUGAAGUGAUUAAACUAUUUAAUUGUGUGUCUAUAUUUUGGAAUGGAAUUAUUUCUUCAUUAAAAAUGUUUUUUAAAACACUAU